GACGAACGCUGGCGGCGUGCCUAACACAUGCAAGUCGAACGGCACUGUUUUGAAAGCUUUCUUCGGAAUGAAUCUGAUUUCGGUUAGUGGCGGACGGGUGAGUAACGCGUGAUUAACCUGCCUUCAAGGGGGGAAUAACAUUCUGAAAAGAAUGCUAAUACUGCAUGACAUAUCGGAACCACAUGGUUUUGAUCUCAAAGAUGUUAUCGCUUGUAGAUGUACUGGCGUCCGAUUAGUUAGUUGGUGAGGUAACGGCUCACCAAGACCGCGAUCGGUAGCCGGACUGAGAGGUUGAACGGCCACAUUGGGACUGAGACACGGCCCGGACAUCUACGGGAAGCAGCAGUAGGGGAUAUUACGCAAUGGGGGCAACCCUGGCGCAGCAACGCGGCGUGAAGCAUUAAGGUUGUCGAAGAAUAACCUUCUUUUAUUAAGGACGAAAAAUGACGGUACUUAAUGAAUAAGCUCCGGCUAACUACGUG
rnacentral:rRNA from 1 species